rnacentral:rRNA from 1 species
CUAAGCGAAGCGGCUGGUUACCAGGCAAAUCCGGUAACCUUAAGGCUAGAGCGUGACAGGUAAGCGAAAUCUAAGGAAAGUAGCGAAGCACAUGAUGACGGCUUCCAGGAAAAGCUUCUGGCAAUGCAUAUGCGGCCCGUACCAAAACCGACACAGGUGGGCAGGGAGAGAAUCCCGAGGUGAGCGAGAGAACUGUUGCCAAGGAACUCGGCAAAAUGACUCCGUAAGUUAGCGAGAAGGAGUGCUUAAGCAAUUAAGCCGCAGUGAAGAGGCCCAAGCGACUGUUUAACUAAAACACAGCUCUCUGCGAAGUCGCAAGACGAAGUAUAGGGGGUGACACCUGCCCGGUGCUGGAAGGUUAAGAGGAUCUGUUAAGAGCGAUCUGAAGCAGUGAUCCGAAGCCCCAGUGAACGGCGGCCGUAACGAUAACGGUCCUAAGGUAGCGAAAUUCCUUGUCAGGUAAGUUCUGACCCGCACGAAAGGUGUAACGAUUUGGGCGCUGUCUCGGCAGCAGACUCGGUGAAAUCUUAGUACCUGUGAAAAUGCAGGUUACCCGCAACUAGACGGAAAGACCCCAUGGAGCUUUACUGCAGCCUGAUAUUGAAUUCUGGUCAUACAUGUACAGGAUAGGUGGGAGACAAAGAGACGUGCACGCCAGUGUACGAGGAGUCGACGUUGGGAUACCACUCUUGUGUGACCGGGGUUCUAACCUGGUAUCGAGAACAGGUACGGGGAGAGUGUCAGGUGGGCAGUUUGACUGGGGCGGUCGCCUCCCAAAGAGUAACGGAGGCGCCCAAAGGUACGCUCAGAUUGGAUGGAAACCAAUCGACGAGUGCAAUUGCAGAAGCGUGCUUGACUGUGAGACAAACAAGUCGAACAGGGACGAAAGUCGGGAAUAGUGAUCCGGCGGUGCCGAAUGGAAGGGCCGUCGCUCAACGGAUAAAAGCUACCCUGGGGAUAACAGGCUGAUCUCGCCCAAGAGUUCACAUCGACGGCGAGGUUUGGCACCUCGAUGUCGGCUCAUCGCAUCCUGGAGCUGGAUUCGGUUCCAAGGGUUGGGCUGUCCGCCCAUUAAAGCGGUACGCGAGCUGGGUUCAGAACGUCGUGAGACAGUUCGGUCCCUAUCUGUUGUGGGCGAAGGAGAUCUGCGGAGAGCUGUCCUCAGUACGAGAGGACCGGGAUGGACCUACCGCUGGUGCACCGGUUGUUCCGCCAGGGGCAUAGCCGGGUAGCCAAGUAGGGAAAGGAUAAGCGCUGAAAGCAUCUAAGCACGAAGCCUACUCCAAGAUGAGAUCUCCCAUUCGCAAGAAGUAAGACCCCUUAAAGACGAUAAGGUAGAUAGGCCAGGGAUGGAAGUGCAGUGAUGUACGGAGUUGACUGGUACUAAUCGGUCGAGGACCAA